CUACGGGAGGCUCCAGUGAGGAAUUUUGCGCAAUGGGGGGAACCCUGACGCAGCAACGCCGCGUGAGUGAUGAAGGCUUUCGGGUCGUAAAGCUCUGUCAAGUGGGAAGAACCUAUGCAGUGUUAAUAUCACUGUGUACUGACGGUACCACUGAAGGAAGCACCGGCUAACUCCGUGCCAGCAGCCGCGGUAAUACGUGGGGGUGCAAGCGUUAUUCGGAAUCAUUGGGCGUAAAGGGCACGUAGGCGGCUUGGUAAGUCAGAUGUGAAAGCCCGGGGCUUAACCCCGGAAGUGCAUUUGAUACUGUCAGGCUUGAGUAUGGGAGAGGGAAGUGGAAUUCCUGGUGUAGAGGUGAAAUUCGUAGAUAUCAGGAGGAACACCGGUGGCGAAGGCGACUUCCUGGACCAAUACUGACGCUGAGGUGCGAAGGCGUGGGUAGCAAACAGGAUUAGAUACCCUCGUAGUC
rnacentral:rRNA from 1 species